GAUGAACGCUGGCGGCGUGCCUAAUACAUGCAAGUCGAGCGAACAGAUAAGGAGCUUGCUCCUUUGACGUUAGCGGCGGACGGGUGAGUAACACGUGGGUAACCUACCUAUAAGACUGGGAUAACUUCGGGAAACCGGAGCUAAUACCGGAUAAUAUUUCGAACCGCAUGGUUCGAUAGUGAAAGAUGGUUUUGCUAUCACUUAUAGAUGGACCCGCGCCGUAUUAGCUAGUUGGUAAGGUAACGGCUUACCAAGGCGACGUUACGUAGCCGACCUGAGAGGGGGAUCGGCCACACUGGAACGGAGACACGGUCCAGACUCCUACGGGAGGCAGCAGUAGGGAAUCUUCCGCAAUGGGCGAAAGCCUGACGGAGCAACGCCGCGUGAGUGAUGAAGGUCUUCGGAUCGUAAAACUCUGUUAUUAGGGAAGAACAUACGUGUAAGUAACUGUGCACGUCUUGACGGUACCUAAUCAGAAAGCCACGGCUAACUACGUG
rnacentral:rRNA from 1 species